AAAACUUUCAACAACGGAUCUCUUGGUUCUGGCAUCGAUGAAGAACGCAGCAAAAUGCGAUAAGUAAUGUGAAUUGCAGAAUUCAGUGAAUCAUCGAAUCUUUGAACGCACAUUGCGCCCCUCGGUAUUCCGGGGGGCAUGCCUGUUCGAGCGUCAUU
rnacentral:rRNA from 4 species